UACGAAGGGUGCAAGCGUUACUCGGAAUUACUGGGCGUAAAGCGUGCGUAGGUGGUGAGUUAAGUCUGUCGUGAAAGCCCCGGGCUCAACCUGGGAAUGGCGAUGGAUACUGGCUCGCUAGAGUGCGGUAGAGGAGAGUGGAAUUCCCGGUGUAGCAGUGAAAUGCGCAGAUAUCGGGAGGAACACCGGUGGCGAAGGCGGUUCUCUGGGCCUGUACUGACGCUGAGGAGCGAAAGCGUGGGGAGCGAACAGG
rnacentral:rRNA from 1 species